rnacentral:rRNA from 1 species
UACUAGAGUAGCACUCGCAUAUCAAUAAGCGGAGGAAAAGAAACUAACAAGGAUUCCCCUAGUAACGGCGAGUGAAGCGGGAAGAGCUCAAAUUUGAAAUCUUAAAGGGUUUCCCUUUACGAAUUGUAGUUUAAAGAAGUGUUUUCUGUUGAGGUUUUGGUAAAAGUUCUUUGGAAUAGGACAUCAUAGAGGGUGAGAAUCCCGUAUUUGACCUUUACUUUCAACUUUGUGAUACACUUUCAAAGAGUCGGAUUGUUUGGGAAUGCAGUCCAAAAUGGGUGGUAAAUUUCAUCUAAAGCUAAAUAUUGGCGAGAGACCGAUAGCGAACAAGUACCGUGAGGGAAAGAUGAAAAGAACUUUGAAAAGAGAGUUAAACAGUACGUGAAAUUGUCAAAAGGGAAGCGUUUGACACCAGUGUUGUUUUUCUGAAAAUCAAUUAAAGAACUGUUUAUGCUAAGUUGUUUAGACUUUAUCAGCUAAUCUGUUUAGUUUUGAGCUUUUCUUUAAUGCACUUUUCAGUUAACAAGUCAACAUCAAUUUCUUUUGCUGUAAAAAAGCUUGAGGAAGGUGGCUUGAGAUUCGUCUUAAGUGUUUAUAGCCUCUUGCCUAUGCAGUCGGAGAGAUUGAGGUCUGCAGCGUAGAUCCUUCGGGGCUAAAUGCAUUUGUGCUAAGUUAUAGCAUUUUAUAGACAACUUGUUGACUAUGAUUUGUCUUGUAGCUUACUCGCUUAUGUUAUUUUACCUACGCUUAGGAUGUUGAGUAGCGACAUACGCAC